UACGUAGGGGGCGAGCGUUGUCCGAAGUUACUGGGCGUAAAGCGCGCGUAGGCGGCUCUUUAAGUGGCCGGUGAAAUCCCCGGGCUCAACUCGGGAGGGUCUGGUCAUACUGGAGGGCUAGAGUAUGGGAGGGGAGAGCGGAACUCCUGGUGUAGCGGUGAUAUGCGUAGAGAUCAGGAAGAACACCCGUGGCGAAGGCGGCUCUCUGGACCAUCACUGACGCUGAGGUGCGAAAGCCAGGGGAG
rnacentral:rRNA from 1 species